UGUAUUCCUAUAAUUUUUGCAUUGAUUUUUAUUGUUUCAUAUUAAUAUUGUAUGGUUUAGGCCUGUGCCUGUAAAGUUAACCAAAAUAAUGUCAGGUCUCUAUUUUGUGAUGUCAAGCCUCCCUCUU